UGGGCUCGAGCGACAUCACAUUGGCUCGAGCGAUACUGGACUUCAUAUAUCACAACCCCUCAUUUCUACUCCCCUUUGCUUUCCAAAGUUGCUUGAUUUCUUCUAUUUAUGCUAGGGCAAAUCCUUACCGCUGCUGUGCGUGGCUGAUUAUCCAAGCUUCUCUCUUGGAUUAGCCCCUUGCUCAUUGUUUUUCAUCGGUACAUCAUUGCACUCGGAGAUGGACUUCUGCUUAUGAAGAAGAUUCCAAAUGUGGCCAACAGUUCAAGGCAAAGGGAGAGUUGGGAACAGUGGCAUAUAUUUUUGAACUACUUGUUGUCAACGUCACGCAUAAUUAACUGUUAAUAUUUUUCUAUGUAAACUUGGGCAAAUUUUCGUC